AUACGGAGGGUGCGAGCGUUAAUCGGAAUUACUGGGCGUAAAGCGUACGUAGGCGGUUGGUCAAGUUAGAUGUGAAAGCCCCGGGCUUAACCUGGGAACUGCAUUUAAAACUGGCGAACUGGAGUUGAGUAGAUGGGAGUGGAAUUUCAGGUGUAGCGGUGAAAUGCGUAGAGAUCUGAAGGAACACCAGUGGCGAAGGCGACUCCCUGGACUCGAACUGACGCUGAGGUACGAAAGCGUGGGUAGCAAACGGGAUUAGAAACCCUAGUAGUCC
rnacentral:rRNA from 1 species